CGGCUGUGCCCAUGGUGGAGAAGAGACCCGCAGUUCCCAGCUGCCUGGCCAUGGCGAGCGAAGAGGAGCAGCCAUCGGCUCUCUCGGAUAAGCAGGUCCUCGUGCUGACGUGGCUCUACCUGCCGGCCUCACUGCUCAGGGAAGGGACCCCCACCCCAUCACCCCCAGCGGCCCCUGCCUGUCCUGGGGGAGGUGAGCACAGGGUCCCCAUGGGGACGGGGUCAGUUGGAACACAGCUGGGACACAGCUCAGCUGUGCAGAACAUUAACCCCCGUGCUGGGACACAGCUCCGCUCUGUGGGACAUUAAACCCUGUGCUGGGACACAGCUCCGCUCUGUGGGACAUAAACCAC